GAUGAACGCUGGCGGCGUGCCUAAUACAUGCAAGUCGAGCGAACGGACGAUAAGCUUGCUUCUUUGAUGUUAGCGGCGGACGUGUGAGUAACACGUGGAUAACCUACCUAUAUGACUGGGAUCACUUCGGGAAACCGGAGCUAAUACCGGAUAAUAUUUUGAUCCGCAUUGUUCAAUAGUAAAAGACGGUCUUGCUGUCACGUAUAGAUGGAUCCGCGCUGCAUUAGCUAUUUGGUAAGGUAACGGCUUACCAGGGCAACGAUGCAUAGCCGAUGUGAGAGGGUGAUCGCCCACCCGGGAGGUGAGACAGGGCCCAGGCUCCUGCGGGAGGCAGCAGUGGGGAAUGUUGCGCAAUGGGCGAAAGCCUGCCGGAACAGCCGCGCGUGAGAGGUAGAGGUUUUGGGAUCGUAAAACUCUGUUAUUAGGGAAAAACAUAUGUGUAAGUAAAUGUGCCCAUCUUGACGGUACCUAAUAAAAAAGCAACGGCUAACUACGUG
rnacentral:rRNA from 1 species